rnacentral:sRNA from 1 species
CGCAUCGGACUGAUCGGGAUACUCAUCAAACAAAACUGAAAACCGAGAGCAAUUCCCUUGUCAAUGGCGGGCCACAUAAAUCUCCCGAGACUAAGCAGCAAUGCCGGUGGAUUACAGCGACAGGGAAUCCUCAAAUCUUAUUAUUUAAGGAGUUUUCAUCACAUCGCGGUGCGUU